UAAGUUCGUGGUAGGUGUGUUUCGAGGAUCAUUCUGCAUGGUUCUGGUAGUGCCCAAUUAUGGACUAGGGAUAGAUUCAAAUGGAUACUCAUCUGUUUAGGGAAGGUUCUGCGAGAAGGUAUUAUGACUGGCCAUUUCCGAGUGGGAUUUUGGUGGAAACUCGUGUUAAGAAUCGCAAGUGUAUCCAUGCAAGGUCUGUAUCCAGAUCAAUGUGGGUUAAGAAAUUUGUAUGUCAAAGGCAUCAGCUGGAGGGUCCAAGAUUUAGCUUUCGUGUAUGUACUCCAGGAUGGUUCUACCAUUGUGAAGGUCGGGCAAUUGAGAUUUUAGGCUCAUAAAAGUAGUGUAUCGUUCGGGUGGCCUUGUAUGAAGAGAAGGAGAUUGCCUAGUAUGUUGUGAGGUGCAUGACCUGUAGGAUGGUCAAGGCCGAGUAUCAGAGGCCGUAUGGAAAGCUGCAGCCUCUGUAGGAUCCCAUGUGAAAAUGGGAGCAGAUUUCAAUGGACCUCAUCACCAAGUUGCCGAAGACGGAAAAGGGUUUCGAUGCUAUUUUGGUCAUCGUGGAUCAAUUGACCAAGAGUGCCCAUUUUCUGGCGAUUCGGGAGAGCUCGUCGGUCGAGAAGUUGGCCAAUGUGUAUAUUCGCGAGAUCAUUGCUCGCCAUGGGGUUCCGGUCUCUAUUUUUUUCAGACCGUGAUGUUCAGUUCACCUCCCAUUUUGGGCAAAAGUUCCAUGAGGAACUGGGCACGAGGCUAAUUUUCAGCACAGCUUAUCAUCCGCAGACCGAUGAACAGAGUGAGCGUACGAUUCAGACUGUCGAGGAUAUGUUUGGAGCAUGCGUCAUUGAUUUUAGUGGGAGCUGGGACUCCUACCUACCCCUUGCAGAGUUCUCCUACAACAACAGUUUCCAGUCUAGCAUUGGUGCUCCCCCUUUCGAGCUUUUGUAUGGACGGAGAUGUCGUACCCCAGUCUGUUGGGGCGAGGUUGGUCACAGGGUCGUGGGGCGGACCAAGGUGGUCCUUCAGACCACAGAGAUGAUCCAACAGAUUACGCAGAGAUUGUAGACUACUCAGAGUCGGCAGAAGAGCUAUGACGACUGAUGUCGGUAUGAGUUGGAGUUUUAGGUCGGCGACAUAGUGUUAUUGAAGGUCUCACCAUGGAAAGGUGUGAUUCGCUUUAGAAAGAGGGGGAAAUUGGGUCCUCGGAUAUAUUGGACCAUGGUUGGCAAGGUUGCUUAUAGAUUGGAUCUUCUAGAGGAGCUCAUUUAAAUUCAUAUCACUUUUCACGUUUCGCAGCUGAGAACGUGCAUACCGGACGAGGAUGCAGUUAUAUAAUUGGAUGAUAUUUAGGUUGAUGAACGCCUGAACUAUGUCGAGAGGCCGGUAGCUAUUCUGAAGAGGAAGAUGAAGGUUUUGUGUAGCAAGGAAAUACCUUUGGUAAAGGUAUGGUGGCAGCACUGGAGGGGCUCUGAGUGGACCUAGGAGCCGGAGGCUGAGAUACAGGAGAAUUAUCCAGCUUUGUUCUCUGUAGUAGGAUUCGAGGACGAAGCCUAGUCUAGGUCGGGGAGAGUUGUAACAUCCCGAUCUCCAGGUAUGAGAUUUAUUCUUAAAUCAAGUUUUCCUUUGGAACUUGUCGAGUUUAUAGCCUCAACUUGGCGUGUUCCAAAGGAAAACUUGAUUUAUGAAUAAAUCUCAUACCUGGAGAUCAGGAUGUUACAACUCUCCCCUACUUGGACUAGGCUUUGUCCUUGAAGUCUGCUACGGAGAAUAAAGUCGGAUAAUGCUCCUGCAUUCAACUCGGCGUGUUGAAGGGCUUUUGGACCGUACAUUUUUAUGGACCAACUCAGCGAGUUGGUGUGGAGAACUCGACGAGUUGAUGGUUAGGUGUGAAACCCUAAAUUUUAGGGUUUUGCACCCUAUAUAACCUCCUUAAGUCCUUAAGGCUGAUCUUUUAUCAGCCUCCAUGUAAUGACCCAAUUUUCACGCCCAAAAAUUUCAUUUAAAAUAAGUGGUUUGUAAAACAUUUGUAGUAAAACAUCAUCCGAUCAUAUCAUUUCAUAAAACAUAUCACGUGUCUGAAAACCCAAAACAUGAAAGUAAUAAUAAUGUCAGAGUACAAUCCCAGAACAUCUCAUAAUGCGGAAAACCAAUGUGUGUGUAUGAUGUGCCGCUACCGCGCCAGCUCCUUCCCCUUCGCUGAAGAGGUACCUGAAACCAAAACUGAAAACUGUAAGCACGAAGCUUAGUGAGUUCCCCCAUCGUACCACAUACCAUACAAUCAUAUCACAUACAUACUACCAAACAUUUCUGGGGUGCCCGACCUACCCGGUACGGCCAUUCUGGGGUGCCGACCUACCCGUACGGCCAUUCUGAGGUGUCGUCCUUCCCGUGUCAAGCCAUUAUGGGGCGCUGACCUACCCAUGUCGAGCCAUUCUGGGGUGCUGACUACCCUUCGGUCCUAACAACCGAACCUCGGGGACUAUUUCACCCCCUACUACUACUAUCACAUAUAACAUAACAUAAACAUAUUAUCAGACAUAUCUGAGGUGCCUGAACUACCCUUCGAUCCUAACAACCGAACUCGGGGACUGGUACCCUCCUACUACCUCUAUCGCAUAUAACAUAACAAGCCAGCAUGCAAACAUAUCAUCACAUACUGUCAGAUGUAUCUGGGGUGUCUGACUACCCUUCGGUCCUAACCACCGAACUCUACUACUAUCACAUACAACAUAUCAUGCUAGCAUAUAACAUAUCAGGUAGUAGCAAACCUAGAUGAUAUCACAAAGACAAUCAUCUAUCAUACGUCUCCUACUGGUGGGCCGGCAUUGUGGCCUUAGACCCACCGCUACUGGAAGGUAACUCACCUCGUAGUAGUUGUUGAACUAUGCGAGAAUCCUCUGAUUGCUGCCGCUGCUGCUCCGGAAAUCCUCCGGCUAUAAUUCCCACAAAACACUUAGUCAGAAACUGACAUCUACUCUUAGGGUAAAAUGAGCAUUUUACCCCUGAUCAAGUCAAAGUCAAAGUCAACUUCUAGUUCACCUGACUCGCCGAGUUGGCUCGCCAACUCGCUGAGUCUUUAUCCUUCCAUUAGACCUCAAACCCGUCUCUACUCGUCGAGUUAGGCGAUGACUCGACGAGUUUUCCUUCUAAAUGAACAUCAACUGAAUCAUCAUCCGACUCGCCGAGUUGUAUGAACAACUCGUCGAGUUCAUCUUCAUCCUUAAGAAGAUUGCCUUGGACUCGCCGAGUCUGUUCAUGCACUCGCCGAGUCCCAUGAAUUUCCAGAACAAUGGCUUAGUCCAGAAUGUUGGUUCACUCCUUAGGACCCCCUUAAAACCUUUCCACACUCAACUGGGUUCUUAUGACCCUCAACUGAUAUGGGACAGAACCUUGGACUCGCCGAGUCCAAGAACGGACUCGCCGAGUUGGUCAUAACCACUCACUGAAUCUUCGCUUUCUGAUGUACAACACUUGAUCAAAAUGUAGAUCUAUGCUUCUACAAUUGAUCUAGCACGUAAAGUUACAACCUUUACGUGUUGGCAUGGGACUUUAAGCUCAAAAGGUCCUAAAACAAGAUCUCACAAUGCAUGGGGCCUUCCUUGAGUGCAAAAGCCACUCCUUUUUGCCUUGUAACCCCUCAAAGGACCUAGAUUUGAAACAUCAACCUCAAACCAUGCUUGCAAUCAUGGUUGGUGACCAAAAUGGCUUAGAAAAGCCCUAACACUCCACAAAAUGGGAUCUAUCAAAAGAGCAAGCAAGGUAUAGACUUUAUACCUUAUGAAGUCAGCAAAUGAUGCUCAAAACUGAAUCCUUCUAGCCUCCUCUUGAUCCUUCAAGCUUUUCCUUCCUUCCUUGGAUCACAAAAGCACCAAAAUCACUCCAAAAGCCUUAGAUUGCUUCAAUAACGGCUAGGGUUUGCUAUGGGGGGUCUUCUGGGAGCAAAUGGGACUAAGGAGGCCGAGUUAAGGUGUUUAAAUAAGGUGCAAACCCUCGGAUUAGGGUUUUUGCCCAAACAGGGUCUACUCGCCGAGUCCACAACUUAAACUCCACGCCUCAUCCCGCUUCUACUCGGCGAGUUGGUCCUUCAACUGGCCGAGUCAAAGACCAAAUGCAAAAUAUUUAAAGAUUUAAUAAAAAGAACACGUACCAAGAACCAGGUGGUACACUCCAAACCCCCCAUAUCGGCCCUUGUGAACCCUAAUCACUCUUCCCUAUCAUUUUGUGAGCUAAUGUGGUACUUUUGGAGAAAAAGAAUAAGAAGUUGGAAGAAGGAAGCAAGGAUCUAGCAAGUAAAGCUCUCAUCUUCAGUUUGGCACUCUUCUGGACCUUUGUAACUAUCCAAGAUCCGAUUUUUAUUCCUCUAUGUAGCUAAAUCUUUAGUUUUGUCCCUUUUCUCCUUAUUCUUGGUUGUUGCUAUGGAUGGAUUUCAUAUAGGUUGCAACUUUAUGAAUCUCCAGGUCAAGGUGACCUUAUAGUGGUUUGGAUCUGGUCAUUAGCCAAGUCUUGAUGCCAUGCAUGGAGGUUAGUUCAUAUUUUCCCUUUUUGACCCAUUUUGGGUUCAAGACGUGCAUUGAACAUGCAUUUCUAUAAAGCACCAACCUUUAGGAUGUUUUUGAGGCUAGAAUCUCUUCUGGAAAAGUUGGGUUUCAGAUCUCAAGGAUUUUGUGAUUAAUCGAUAAGCCCUUGAGUUUUCAAACCUUGUAGAGGGGUUUUUGAGCACUUGGAGUUUCCCCAAAGGAUAAAGUUGGAAACUUUAACCUUUUAUACAACAUUUGAAUUUAGAUCUAAGCCUUAGAGUCCCUAGAAUCGAAGAAUCAACUGAAUGUGUUAAGCUGGGGAAAACUCAGCGAGUUGACUAGGGUUUUCCCGACCUUCUGAGUACUCUAGGAUCUCGACGAGUUCAUUGGUGCACUUGACGAGUUGGGUCAACAUGGACUGUUGACCGUUGACUCUGACUUUAACCAUGGUUGACCAAGUUUGAAUUUUGAGGGCAAUUUGGGUAUUUUGGGAUUUUGAUGGAACUGGUGUCAUGGUGGUUGUAGGCAUUCAAGUCAAGAGCUGAGAUUCGGAGUCAAACCUCAUCAGUUUUGCACUACUUGUGAGGUGAGUUUCCCUCGCUAUACUUUUGGGUCGAAGGCACCAAGACUGACCUAUUGGUUUGAUAACCGGAUAUCGUUGAUAUUGUUGAGUAUGGAAUAGAUAUGCAUGCUAGUUUUGAUAUGCUAGUUGGUAGAUCUAUAAGACUACUUGUGACACUACCUGUUUAUCUGUAUAUGAUGUUAUCUAUUAUAUGUCGACAUAUUGUGUGGGUUGGGUUGAUGAGCAUUCCAGAUACGAGCAAAGGAUCGGGAAGGGCAUGUCAGACUCGUAUUAAGGUCUUAGUGGUAUUUAGUCUGAGGAUUGAUCAGUUCGGGGAGCAAACCAAACAUAAGAUGUGGGCUAAGGGCAAACCAGACUUAUGUUGUGGGCUCACGGGUAAUCCAGUUUGUUAGAUGUAGACCCAUGGCAUGCUAUUAUUAUAUUUGUACUAUUUGCUAUGUAUUGGUAUUUUGUGGAAACUCACUAAUCUUUGGGCUUACAGUUUUGGAUUAUGUUUCAAGUACUUCAGAGGAUCGCGGGAAGGCGAAGGCGUGAUCGUGCACUUCCUCAUGUUUUGUUUCAUGAUUUUGGGAUUACUCCGAUAUUGAACUCGUUUUGAAAACUAUUUGUAAACAAUUGUGGUUUUUCACUUUAAUUUAAAAGUUUAAAUUUUCAAUAGUUUUAUGGAUGUUACAUAUAGGUUCAUAAUAACGACUAUGAAUAUAAAUAUAAGUUACACUUAAAGCGUAAUAAGUAUAACUAAACUUACAGGUUUUCUAGCGAAAGUUCAGAAAGUCGUAGGUAGAAUUUUGACUCUAAAUACUUCUUUUAUCGGGCUCUCGGAUGCAGCAUCGCCUCGCUAUGACUGCUCUGGAACUUCGAAGUCAGUCCUCAGGGUGCGGGAAAAAUGUCGAGAGAGUUUGGAGAGAAAACGGUGUGUAAAUGAACAAAAAUUAGGUCAUAUAUAUAUAUAUAUAUNNNNNNNNNNNNNNNNNNNNNNNNNNNNNNNNNNNNNNNNNNNNNNNNNNNNNNNNNNNNNNNNNNNNNNNNNNNNNNNNNNNNNNNNNNNNNNNNNNNNNNNNNNNNNNNNNNNNNNNNNNNNNNNNNNNNNNNNNNNNNNNNNNNNNNNNNNNNNNNNNNNNNNNNNNNNNNNNNNNNNNNNNNNNNNNNNNNNNNAUGGGCUCUUAUUGUGACACGUUUCACACGUAAGGUGGUUCCACAUCGUCUUAAACAUGUAUAAUUUUGUGAUAUUCGAAAAAAUUAUAUAUUUCACAUACGAGCUUCUUUUUCAUCGUUAUUUAUACUCCCAGUUUCAUAUCGACGAGUACUACAACUUCUAUUUAGAUUUUAUCAGCUAAUUCGCAUUCUAUUUUUAUUUUACAGUCUGUAAAUGUUACACUAUAAAAGACCUUGUGAAAAUAAUAAUUUCUUCUUACAAUCUAUGUUCUCAAUGUUCUUUAUAUCUACAUAUUCGUAUUCUCGAGGAAAUCAAUUCUCAUUAAAAAAAAUUUGGCUAACAAAGAACAUAUCUUCGUUUGAUAUUUUAUGACGCACAAUAUUGUAUUGGGUUAAACGUGAAACUUUAAAAAAUCAUAAGUUAUUCAUACGAAGUCGGACUUAAGCGUUCUUUAUACUCACGACUUCGUAAUUACGACUACUACAAAAUUUUUCAAGAUAAUUUAUCCUAAAUAAUAUUUUAUUUGUAAACGUUAUUUUAUCGCUUUUCGAGAAAUUUAUAAAAAGAUUUAUACAAAUAUUAUAUAUCCAUAAUAUGUGUCCACAUAAUACAUAUAUAAUAAAUAAAUAUUUAUAUAACUCGUAACGUUUACAAAGAACAACUACUUAAUGCUUUUAGGCUUCGUUUGAUAUAAUAAUUAUAAUUUAAUGAACUCUUCGAAUGGAAAAGAAAGCAUUUGAAAUAGUUUUGAAAGUAAAAAGUUUUGAUUGACGAUCACGUGAACUUUUUUCAAAAGAGUACGCUAAAAUUUUGAAAAGUAAAUGAUUUGAAUAAACGAACAUUUACAAAAGUAGGUAUUUAAUAUAUGUCAAUUUGAAAGAUUGUGAGAUUCGCAAAAGUAAAUGACUUGAAUAAAUGAAAUCUUUACAAUAAUAAAUAUUCGUUGUAUGUGCUUAUGAAAGACAAAAGAAUGAUAUGAGCUUAUACUAAAUGAUUAAUUUGUUAAUACUUGAUUUGAUAAGUUUUUCAUAUUAUGCAAGUUAAUAUUGAUUAGAAAAUAGAAUAUGAUAAUUGUUUGCGAUUGAGUCACAAAAAGAAAAGUGAUGAUCAUAAGUACAUUGAAUGUGAGUGCAUAAGAUAAACUAGUUUCCAGAAAAUUACGAUAUCCUGGGAAUGAGAUAAGGGACGAAUCUACCGAGACACUACAUCAUUUCGCAAGGUAGAGGUCGAGCGAUUCCUUAAUGGGUUUAUUUGUUCUUUCUAUAUUGGGAAAUGUUGAUAGGGUUAUAUUUCUAGGUUUCUCUUCAAGGUUUGGAUCGGUAUGACUAAAGGGCUGUAUAUUAAUACGAAGGUAUUAUACGAAAAGGCUUAUAAGGUUUUGUCUUAUUUGAUCAUCCAUUACAUAUAUAAAUUACAUUGCAUGAAGUAUGUUGAAAUGAAUAUUUUAAUCAAAUGUUUAAUAAUGAACUAUCUGCACAUAACCGAAUGACCUUGUGCAAACAUGAAUAUAUGAUACAGGAAGGCCCGUAAGGUUUGAUCAUGUUGAUGAUUUUGCACCUUGUGUAUAUAUGUUAAGACAUACGAUGUAUAAUGAUUUGUGUCUAAACUUAUAUAGCUCAUGAGACAUUGUUAUCUUACGUAUGUUUGUUAAAUGAUAUGUAUUUCAGUUUCAAAUACUAAGGGGCUGUUUGGUAGGAUCUGAAUUUUUAAGAUCUGAAUUUUUAAGUGGUCUGAAUUUUUAAGAGGGUCUGAAUUUUUAAGAUCUGAAUUUUUAAAUGUUGUUUGUUUAGAACCUCUGAAUUGCAGUGCUGAAUUAUAAAAAUGACCAUUUUGCCCUUCUAUGUUAUUUUUUGCUAAAUUCAAUAUUUUUGCUUAUAAAAUAACCAAAUCAAACAUAACAUUAUCAUUUCGUGAUUAUACCCCAACCAACUAAUUGCAAUAAUACAAGAAAAUCAAUAUUUUAUAUCACAAAUGACAAACCUAUUUCUUAAUUGUGGCACCCAAAACAAUCAAAACCUCCAAUUCAAGAGCUUCACAGAUCUUCACAAUUCUUCAACUAUAAAAAGGGUACAAUAGAGACUUGAGAGCUGAUCCUUGACUGGUUUGACCUUCUAUGGCUUUAAAGGAACUAUUAGAGUUGUGGUUGGCAAUGGGAGGGUAGUAGUUGAACCAUAUAUUGUUUUAAUGGCAGAUAGUAUUGGAUCACUCUCUUCAACCUAUUGAGGCACAAUAUAGCCAAUUCCUGAUGACAAGUUAAUAGACAAUGUAUCAAAACAAUAAGGAGUCAUGAUUUUUGAUAAAUUGAAGAUGAAUGAAUGAAAUGAAAACAGAAUAUGGAAGCAAUUUCAAUAAUUUCAUAAUGAAGUGAAAACAGAAUAUGUCGUGUGUAUCCCUGUACAAACAUUGAAGAAAGCUUCAGCUUACAUCUAAUUCUAGUUUCUUUUCCUGCAAUUGUGCUGAGAAGACAACAAUAUCAAAUUUUCAAUUGAUACCCUGAUUUCAAAAAAAAAAAAAGGAAAAAAAGGAAAACAAUGGUCUGAUUUCAGGAAUGAUACUCUAAUUUCAGGGGAAAAACUACGAAACUCAAUUUUCAAGAAUUAAACUCGAAUUGCAGAGCAAGAGAAAAAGAAAAACUUUACCUAUACAAGAUGUCGGAGGCGAAGUCGACAACACCGGUGGUGUUGCAGAUCGGAUGCAGGCAAUGAAAUCGAUUUUCAGAAGAAGAGAAACAUACCUGCUGGGCAGAAUUCGAAAACGAGUUCGAGCCAGAGGACAUGCGUCGGCGUCGGCGUUGCAGGGUGCAGCAUCGUCGACGUUUUGGGUGGACGUGAACCUCGUCGGAAUCUUGGUGGUGAAGAGAAGCAGAUGCGAAUGGGAGCACACACGAAGGGAAGGAAAGGUGAUGAAGCGUUUGUCGGUCUUUCUUUAGGGCAAAUUAGGUGCGCGUCAUUUUUUUUAUUUUUCAGACCUUGUUCAAUAUCUGAAAAAAUAAGAGGUAAUUAUAACUUUAAGAGGUAAAAAAUAAGAUGCAAACAAACGAUCUGAAUCUGAAAUUUUAAGACAUUGCCUCUUAAUUUUGCAAUUAAGAGGUAAACAAACGGGCCCUAAGGACUAGAAGAUUUGGAUAGUAUCGAUAGAAGAUUUGGAUAGUAUCGAUAGCAGGGAACUUUUAAAUGAUAGUAAUUUGAUAGUUUUUAUAUGUAUGUAAAUUUACUGUUUUAUUAUGGUUUGUAAGUUAUCAUACACCUCCUAGAUGUUUUUUUAAUAACAUGUAAUUGUUUUGGUUUUUGUGGAACCACCAUGAGUAUGAAUUAAUUAAAAAAAUAUUUUCCAAACCAUAAUAUUUUAUUAUAUGAAAAUAUUUUAGUCAUUUUACAUGUAUUUAACCAUCAUUUUCUACCGAUAUUAGUCAUAAGGACCCAGUGCAACAUUUUAAACUCUCAAUGACUAUUGGUAUUAAAAAUUCCUUAAAAAGACUUGUAAUUGUAUUUUUGUCAACCACAAAUAUCAUUUAUAUAAUUUUGUCUAUUUUUCUCAUUGGGUUUAUUUUACUUCACACAUUAUAAAUCAUGUAACAUAAUGUAACAUAAUAAAAUAAUUUAAUAUUUAACAUUUUAAAAUACAUGAUAUCAUCUCAAUCAACUAAUGAUGUAUCAAUUGGUCAUGGGGUUUUUUUUUUAAUACAAGAAGGGAGUUUUUUAUCUUCAAAUCAGCAUAUGACGAGUUCCCAAGCAUUUCUGGCAGGGUUGUUUGUCAUACAUAAUAGUUUUUUUGUCAUACACAACAAUUCAUGCAUUAUAUAAUUGUACAAUAUAACAUUUUAAAGCACCAACUGUUAUGUAUGAAAAAAAAAAUUUAUUGUGUAUGAAUUAACUCCCUACGAAAAAUUAUAGUUUUGUAAUUAUAUGAAAACUGCCAAUAUUCUAUUUUUGUAAAUUAAUCAAGAGUUUACCUUAUUAAUCUACUAUGCAUUAUCAUUUCUUUUAAUUCUUCCAAAAAAAUAUAUAAUAUUAGAUAUUAUGAAUAUAGAAAUGGACACCAGUGUUUUAAAAACCGGUUUGAACCGGCCGGUUGAACGGUCGAACCGGGAACCGGAGGUGAGGGCGAUUCGAUUUGGACCGGUUUUAUAAUGAUUUUCUGACCGGAUUGAACCGGCCGGUUUUGGUAAAAAACCAGUUUAACCGGCAGAAUUGAACCGAAAUGAACCGGGUUGAACCGGACAUUCUUGGAUUUAUGUGUUUGUUUUGGGUUUCUUUGUUUGAUUUUGACUUCUAUAAUAAUUGUUUUUAUAUGUUGCCAAGGGCGGAACAUGGGCUCUAGAAUUGGAGGGGCCGUAACCAGAAAUUUAAAACAAAAUGAUGUAUAGAAAAUAGAAUAUGAUAAUUGUUUGCGAUUGAGUCACAAAAAGAAAAGUGAUGAUCAUAAGUACAUUGAAUGUGAGUGCAUAAGAUAAACUAGUUUCCAGAAAAUUACGAUAUCCUGGGAAUGAGAUAAGGGACGAAUCUACCGAGACACUACAUCAUUUCGCAAGGUAGAGGUCGAGCGAUUCCUUAAUGGGUUUAUUUGUUCUUCCUAUAUUGGGAAAUGUUGAUAGGGUUAUAUUUCUAGGUUUCUCUUCAAGGUUUGGAUCGGUAUGACUAAAGGGCUGUAUAUUAAUACGAAGGUAUUAUACGAAAAGGCUUAUAAGGUUUUGUCUUAUUUGAUCAUCCAUUACAUAUAUAAAUUACAUUGCAUGAAGUAUGUUGAAAUGAAUAUUUUAAUCAAAUGUUUAAUAAUGAACUAUCUGCACAUAACCGAAUGACCUUGUGCAAACAUGAAUAUAUGAUACAGGAAGGCCCGUAAGGUUUGAUCAUGUUGAUGAUUUUGCACCUUGUGUAUAUAUGUUAAGACAUACGAUGUAUAAUGAUUUGUGUCUAAACUUAUAUAGCUCAUGAGACAUUGUUAUCUUACGUAUGUUUGUUAAAUGAUAUGUAUUUCAGUUUCAAGUACUAAGGGGCUGUUUGGUAGGAUCUGAAUUUUUAAGAUCUGAAUUUUUAAGUGGUCUGAAUUUUUAAGAGGGUCUGAAUUUUUAAGAUCUGAAUUUUUAAAUGUUGUUUGUUUAGAACCUCUGAAUUGCAGUGCUGAAUUAUAAAAAUGACCAUUUUGCCCUUCUAUGUUAUUUUUUGCUAAAUUCAAUAUUUUUGCUUAUAAAAUAACCAAAUCAAACAUAACAUUAUCAUUUCGUGAUUAUACCCCAACCAACUAAUUGCAAUAAUACAAGAAAAUCAAUAUUUUAUAUCACAAAUGACAAACCUAUUUCUUAAUUGUGGCACCCAAAACAAUCAAAACCUCCAAUUCAAGAGCUUCACAGAUCUUCACAAUUCUUCAACUAUAAAAAGGGUACAAUAGAGACUUGAGAGCUGAUCCUUGACUGGUUUGACCUUCUAUGGCUUUAAAGGAACUAUUAGAGUUGUGGUUGGCAAUGGGAGGGUAGUAGUUGAACCAUAUAUUGUUUUAAUGGCAGAUAGUAUUGGAUCACUCUCUUCAACCUAUUGAGGCACAAUAUAGCCAAUUCCUGAUGACAAGUUAAUAGACAAUGUAUCAAAACAAUAAGGAGUCAUGAUUUUUGAUAAAUUGAAGAUGAAUGAAUGAAAUGAAAACAGAAUAUGGAAGCAAUUUCAAUAAUUUCAUAAUGAAGUGAAAACAGAAUAUGUCGUGUGUAUCCCUGUACAAACAUUGAAGAAAGCUUCAGCUUACAUCUAAUUCUAGUUUCUUUUCCUGCAAUUGUGCUGAGAAGACAACAAUAUCAAAUUUUCAAUUGAUACCCUGAUUUCAAAAAAAAAAAAAGGAAAAAAAGGAAAACAAUGGUCUGAUUUCAGGAAUGAUACUCUAAUUUCAGGGGAAAAACUACGAAACUCAAUUUUCAAGAAUUAAACUCGAAUUGCAGAGCAAGAGAAAAAGAAAAACUUUACCUAUACAAGAUGUCGGAGGCGAAGUCGACAACACCGGUGGUGUUGCAGAUCGGAUGCAGGCAAUGAAAUCGAUUUUCAGAAGAAGAGAAACAUACCUGCUGGGCAGAAUUCGAAAACGAGUUCGAGCCAGAGGACAUGCGUCGGCGUCGGCGUUGCAGGGUGCAGCAUCGUCGACGUUUUGGGUGGACGUGAACCUCGUCGGAAUCUUGGUGGUGAAGAGAAGCAGAUGCGAAUGGGAGCACACACGAAGGGAAGGAAAGGUGAUGAAGCGUUUGUCGGUCUUUCUUUAGGGCAAAUUAGGUGCGCGUCAUUUUUUUUAUUUUUCAGACCUUGUUCAAUAUCUGAAAAAAUAAGAGGUAAUUAUAACUUUAAGAGGUAAAAAAUAAGAUGCAAACAAACGAUCUGAAUCUGAAAUUUUAAGACAUUGCCUCUUAAUUUUGCAAUUAAGAGGUAAACAAACGGGCCCUAAGGACUAGAAGAUUUGGAUAGUAUCGAUAGAAGAUUUGGAUAGUAUCGAUAGCAGGGAACUUUUAAAUGAUAGUAAUUUGAUAGUUUUUAUAUGUAUGUAAAUUUACUGUUUUAUUAUGGUUUGUAAGUUAUCAUACACCUCCUAGAUGUUUUUUUAAUAACAUGUAAUUGUUUUGGUUUUUGUGGAACCACCAUGAGUAUGAAUUAAUUAAAAAAAUAUUUUCCAAACCAUAAUAUUUUAUUAUAUGAAAAUAUUUUAGUCAUUUUACAUGUAUUUAACCAUCAUUUUCUACCGAUAUUAGUCAUAAGGACCCAGUGCAACAUUUUAAACUCUCAAUGACUAUUGGUAUUAAAAAUUCCUUAAAAAGACUUGUAAUUGUAUUUUUGUCAACCACAAAUAUCAUUUAUAUAAUUUUGUCUAUUUUUCUCAUUGGGUUUAUUUUACUUCACACAUUAUAAAUCAUGUAACAUAAUGUAACAUAAUAAAAUAAUUUAAUAUUUAACAUUUUAAAAUACAUGAUAUCAUCUCAAUCAACUAAUGAUGUAUCAAUUGGUCAUGGGGUUUUUUUUUUAAUACAAGAAGGGAGUUUUUUAUCUUCAAAUCAGCAUAUGACGAGUUCCCAAGCAUUUCUGGCAGGGUUGUUUGUCAUACAUAAUAGUUUUUUUGUCAUACACAACAAUUCAUGCAUUAUAUAAUUGUACAAUAUAACAUUUUAAAGCACCAACUGUUAUGUAUGAAAAAAAAAAUUUAUUGUGUAUGAAUUAACUCCCUACGAAAAAUUAUAGUUUUGUAAUUAUAUGAAAACUGCCAAUAUUCUAUUUUUGUAAAUUAAUCAAGAGUUUACCUUAUUAAUCUACUAUGCAUUAUCAUUUCUUUUAAUUCUUCCAAAAAAAUAUAUAAUAUUAGAUAUUAUGAAUAUAGAAAUGGACACCAGUGUUUUAAAAACCGGUUUGAACCGGCCGGUUGAACGGUCGAACCGGGAACCGGAGGUGAGGGCGAUUCGAUUUGGACCGGUUUUAUAAUGAUUUUCUGACCGGAUUGAACCGGCCGGUUUUGGUAAAAAACCAGUUUAACCGGCAGAAUUGAACCGAAAUGAACCGGGUUGAACCGGACAUUCUUGGAUUUAUGUGUUUGUUUUGGGUUUCUUUGUUUGAUUUUGACUUCUAUAAUAAUUGUUUUUAUAUGUUGCCAAGGGCGGAACAUGGGCUCUAGAAUUGGAGGGGCCGUAACCAGAAAUUUAAAACAAAAUGAUGUAUAGAAAAUAGAAUAUGAUAAUUGUUUGCGAUUGAGUCACAAAAAGAAAAGUGAUGAUCAUAAGUACAUUGAAUGUGAGUGCAUAAGAUAAACUAGUUUCCAGAAAAUUACGAUAUCCUGGGAAUGAGAUAAGGGACGAAUCUACCGAGACACUACAUCAUUUCGCAAGGUAGAGGUCGAGCGAUUCCUUAAUGGGUUUAUUUGUUCUUCCUAUAUUGGGAAAUGUUGAUAGGGUUAUAUUUCUAGGUUUCUCUUCAAGGUUUGGAUCGGUAUGACUAAAGGGCUGUAUAUUAAUACGAAGGUAUUAUACGAAAAGGCUUAUAAGGUUUUGUCUUAUUUGAUCAUCCAUUACAUAUAUAAAUUACAUUGCAUGAAGUAUGUUGAAAUGAAUAUUUUAAUCAAAUGUUUAAUAAUGAACUAUCUGCACAUAACCGAAUGACCUUGUGCAAACAUGAAUAUAUGAUACAGGAAGGCCCGUAAGGUUUGAUCAUGUUGAUGAUUUUGCACCUUGUGUAUAUAUGUUAAGACAUACGAUGUAUAAUGAUUUGUGUCUAAACUUAUAUAGCUCAUGAGACAUUGUUAUCUUACGUAUGUUUGUUAAAUGAUAUGUAUUUCAGUUUCAAGUACUAAGGGGCUGUUUGGUAGGAUCUGAAUUUUUAAGAUCUGAAUUUUUAAGUGGUCUGAAUUUUUAAGAGGGUCUGAAUUUUUAAGAUCUGAAUUUUUAAAUGUUGUUUGUUUAGAACCUCUGAAUUGCAGUGCUGAAUUAUAAAAAUGACCAUUUUGCCCUUCUAUGUUAUUUUUUGCUAAAUUCAAUAUUUUUGCUUAUAAAAUAACCAAAUCAAACAUAACAUUAUCAUUUCGUGAUUAUACCCCAACCAACUAAUUGCAAUAAUACAAGAAAAUCAAUAUUUUAUAUCACAAAUGACAAACCUAUUUCUUAAUUGUGGCACCCAAAACAAUCAAAACCUCCAAUUCAAGAGCUUCAUAGAUCUUCACAAUUCUUCAACUAUAAAAAGGUACAAUAGAGACUUGAGAGCUGAUCCUUGACUGGUUUGACCUUCUAUGGCUUUAAAGGAACUAUUAGAGUUGUGGUUGGCAAUGGGAGGGUAGUAGUUGAACCAUAUAUUGUUUUAAUGGCAGAUAGUAUUGGAUCACUCUCUUCAACCUAUUGAGGCACAAUAUAGCCAAUUCCUGAUGACAAGUUAAUAGACAAUGUAUCAAAACAAUAAGGAGUCAUGAUUUUUGAUAAAUUGAAGAUGAAUGAAUGAAAUGAAAACAGAAUAUGGAAGCAAUUUCAAUAAUUUCAUAAUGAAGUGAAAACAGAAUAUGUCGUGUGUAUCCCUGUACAAACAUUGAAGAAAGCUUCAGCUUACAUCUAAUUCUAGUUUCUUUUCCUGCAAUUGUGCUGAGAAGACAACAAUAUCAAAUUUUCAAUUGAUACCCUGAUUUCAAAAAAAAAAAAAGGAAAAAAAGGAAAACAAUGGUCUGAUUUCAGGAAUGAUACUCUAAUUUCAGGGGAAAAACUACGAAACUCAAUUUUCAAGAAUUAAACUCGAAUUGCAGAGCAAGAGAAAAAGAAAAACUUUACCUAUACAAGAUGUCGGAGGCGAAGUCGACAACACCGGUGGUGUUGCAGAUCGAAUGCAGGCAAUGAAAUCGAUUUUCAGAAGAAGAGAAACAUACCUGUUGGGCAGAAUUCGAAAACGAGUUCGAGCCAGAGGACAUGCGUCGGCGUCGGCGUUGCAGGGUGCAGCAUCGUCGACGUUUUGGGUGGACGUGAACCUCGUCGGAAUCUUGGUGGUGAAGAGAAGCAGAUGCGAAUGGGAGCACACACGAAGGGAAGGAAAGGUGAUGAAGCGUUUGUCGGUCUUUCUUUAGGGCAAAUUAGGUGCGCGUCAUUUUUUUUUUUUUUCAGACCUUGUUCAAUAUCUGAAAAAAUAAGAGGAAAUUAUAACUUUAAGAGGUAAAAAAUAAGAUGCAAACAAACGAUCUGAAUCUGAAAUUUUAAGACAUUGCCUCUUAAUUUUGCAAUUAAGAGGUAAACAAACGGGCCCUAAGGACUAGAAGAUUUGGAUAGUAUCGAUAGAAGAUUUGGAUAGUAUCGAUAGCAGGGAACUUUUAAAUGAUAGUAAUUUGAUAGUUUUUAUAUGUAUGUAAAUUUACUGUUUUAUUAUGGUUUGUAAGUUAUCAUACACCUCCUAGAUGUUUUUUUAAUAACAUGUAAUUGUUUUGGUUUUUGUGGAACCACCAUGAGUAUGAAUUAAUUAAAAAAAUAUUUUCCAAACCAUAAUAUUUUAUUAUAUGAAAAUAUUUUAGUCAUUUUACAUGUAUUUAACCAUCAUUUUCUACCGAUAUUAGUCAUAAGGACNGUAACGAUAUUAGUCAUAAGGACCUAGUGCAACAUUUUAAACUCUCAAUGACUAUUGGUAUUAAAAAUUCCUUAAAAAGACUUGUAAUUGUAUUUUUGUCAGCCACAAAUAUGAUUUAUAUAAUUUUGUCUAUUUUUCUCAUUGGGUUUAUUUUACUUCACACAUUAUAAAUCAUGUAACAUAAUGUAACAUAAUAAAAUAAUUUAAUAUUUAACAUUUUAAAAUACAUGAUAUCAUCUCAAUCAACUAAUGAUGUAUCAAUUGGUCAUGGGGUUUUUUUUUUAAUACAAGAAGGGAGUUUUUUAUCUUCAAAUCAGCAUAUGACGAGUUCCCAAGCAUUUCUGGCAGGGUUGUUUGUCAUACAUAAUAAUUUAUUUGUCAUACACAACAAUUCAUGCAUUAUAUAAUUGUACAAUAUAACAUUUUAAAGCACCAACUGUUAUGUAUGAAAAAAAAAAUUAUUCUGUAUGAAUUAACUCCCUACAAAAAAUUAUAGUUUUGUAAUUAUAUGAAAACUGCCAAUAUUCUAUUUUUGUAAAUUAAUCAAGAGUUUACCUUAUUAAUCUACUAUGCAUUAUCAUUUCUUUUAAUUCUUCCAAAAAAAAUAUAUAAUAUUAGAUAUUAUGAAUAUAGAAAUGGACACCAGUGUUUUAAAAACCGGUUUGAACCGGCCGGUUGAACGGUCGAACCGGGAAUCGGAGGUGAGGGCGAUUCGAUUUGGACCGGUUUUAUAAUGAUUUUCUGACCGGAUUGAACCGGCCGGUUUUGAUAAAAAACCAGUUUAACCGGUAGAAUUGAACCGAAAUGAACCGGGUUGAACCGGACAUUCUUGGAUUUAUGUGUUUGUUUUGGGUUUCUUUGUUUGAUUUUGACUUCUAUAAUAAUUGUUUUUAUAUGUUGCCAAGGGCGGAACAUGGGCUCUAGAAUUGGAGGGGCCGUAACCAGAAAUUUAAAACAAAAUCAUGUAUAAGAAUUUUGUAUGCUACGAAGUUAUUGGUAUCGGUUUUCGGUAAUAAAAACAUUGAACAUCUAGGUAUUUGCAUCUAAAACAAUCGUCGGUUUCUCUUAGGAAGUUACUUGAUUUAUUAUAUUUUGAUAUACACUACUUAAUAUAAUUAACUAAAUUUAACGAAUAAAAAAUAAAUUAAAAUUUUAUAAUUGUAUUUUGAUAAAUAACUAAUUAUUUAUAUUUUCCUAAAAUUAUUUUAAAAAGGUUAUAACAAACUAUAUUUUAAUGAUAAUUAAUAAAUAAGAAAAUUAACUAACAUAAAGAAAUUAUAAUAUAUAUAUAUAACAAAAAGAGUUAAAUUUUUAACAGCAAAUAAAGUUAUUUAAAUAAGAUUUGGGUUAGAUUUUUAUAGCUAUAACUCUAUAUUAGAAUAUUUAAUAAUAAAGUACUCUUAUUGUUGCAGAAUUUUUGUUGUUUCAGUAAAACUUUUAAAAGUUAUCCUACUCCACACCAUCAUAUAUUCAUGUAGAUGCGUUCCGCACAUUCUAGUGAGAGAAAAAUAGACUUACAAGUUACAAGUUUGAAAUCCAGCAAGACGAGUAAAAAUCUCCAAGUCAGAGAGGGGAGUCAACAGAAACGGUGUGUCAAAGCCACAUCACAUGGAUGUUAACCGGUCAGGAUAGCAGUCGGUGAACUGAUAAAGUGAGAGUUGAGCACUCCGGCGACAACCAUAUUUUCCGGUUUCAUUUUUUUUCAGGCAACACUGAUGAUCCUUAGUUUACAGUUUCUCAAAGAUUGUGUUGAUAAAUUGUAUAGUAAAAUAGUUUUUCUUUUGAAGUUUUAUGAAGUUUUAUUUUUAGUUAGGAUUUAUUUUGAUUUUUUCCUUAAUAUUCUAGAUUUCUGUUUGAUUACUUAUCUAGUUUCCUAAAAAAAAAUAAAACCAAACAUACAUAUAUAGUAACGAUAUUAGCAGUAGAAAACCUGGCAUAGCCCCCUUUGGCCCCUAAGAGGAUCCGCCACUAUAUGUUGCAUUCUAUUUACGUUUGUAAUACUACCUCCAUCCCAAAUUAAUUGUCCACAUUUGACUUUUCCAAUCUUUAUUCUUCAACUUUGACCUUAAAUAAUUUUCUUUUUGAUCGAUAAUACUUAAUACAAAAUAUAUGAAUAGAUUGUAUUCUAAAUGUUUUUUCAUUGUUAUAAGUUUCAUCAAGUAAUAUAUAACACAAAUAAAAAUAUUUGAGGUCAAAGUUGAAUAAAAAAGACUUCAAAAGCCAAAAGUUGACAAUUAAUUUGGGACGGAAGGAGUAUUAAAAAGGUAACAAUUAAUCCACAAUCCAAUCACGAAAAAGUUUGGUUAAAUAUAGGGUUUUAAGAAUCUGGUUCAGAUCAGUAUCUGAUCUGAUUGGAUUUAACCGGAUCACAUUCUAGUUGUUGGAAACAAGAUUAGGACCAAAUAAUUGAAACUAGAUUAAACCGCCUCACUUUUUUGGAGAGAAACCGGUUACAAACGAAACUGGUUUUGGGGUCGGAGGAAACCGGUUUAUGUGUUCACCCUAAAAAUCCGACUCUGGUUUGAAACCGGUCCGGAUCAGUUAAAGCAUUAAAAAGGAACAAACAAAAAAGGAUGAUAACAUUCAUUAUAAGUAUUCUUGAAUCUUGAUAAUAUACAAGCAAGAAAAUGUCUGGAUACCUCGUGGUUGUCAGGAGCAAGAAACACAAAUACAUUGAUGCUAAAAACCAAACAUCUAUGAGAUCACUCCAACUGAGCAUACCAAACACCCUGGAUUUUCACAUCCUUAGGAACCUUGGCUCCAAGAUCAGUAUCCGAAGGCUGAAUACUCUCAAACACUCCGAUCACCUCUCCAGUAUCCGGCUUGCUUGAAGUGACACUCAAAGUAAUCUUUCCCGUUGAUGCUGCAACAUUCUUUACGUUCUCUUUAGAAAGCUCCUCUUCAUCUCCCCUCCCUCCUGCCGGCAAAGCAACCGCAUUAUCAUAUCCGGUGGAACCACCUCUACCCUUUGGGUCAAGAAAUGACGAUCCUCUGUAAGAUGGCACUAGAAAUUCUCCACUAAAGCUCUCUGGUUUCCCAGAUGCUACGAGCUGUUUGAUUGUGAAUAGGAAUGGCACACGUUCACCUCCGGGAAGCUGAACAGUCACAGCAGCGUAGUCGAUUCCGUCUUUCUCCUCGAACUUAAUGGAUCCAUCAGGAGACACUUCGAGGGGACCCUCGAUCUCGUCAAGGGUGUAGGUCAAACGGGUCAUGAGUUUGGUUUUUUGGAACUCGGGUGUAGAGUUCUUGCUUACACCUUCGGCUUUGACUGUGAAUGAUGUGGGUUCAAGGCAGAAUUUCUUGGCGUUGUAUUUGCCGGACUUGAAAGCAAACCCAGUAACUCCGCCGUCGAUGGUUGGGCAUUGGUUAGCUGUUCCGGUUCCUUUUACUUCCAUGUAUGUCUUGCUUUGGAUCUCAUCGAAAGUUAACCUUUUUGGACUUCCCUCAGCACUUGCUCCCUGAUACAAUAUCAAUAUACAUGUAUACACACUUACGCAAAUAAACAAAACAGUUAUAAUAUAUACUUGGAUCAAUAUGUCACUAACAGUCAAAGAACCGGAGGAGACAUACCGAAACAACAAGGGCAGAAGUGGCAAGAGCGAAUCCGGCGAUCUUGGCAGCAUCGGUGCAUUUCUGAGCGAAGUCCUUGAGAUCAGCCUGAAGAGAGCAAGACACCCUGGCUCCGGAGGACUCGACACCGAAGGCCUUGCAGAUGCUCGGAGAAGACUUUAGCUGCAGACGGCCGGAGACACCCACCUUGGUUGGUUGCAUGAAAGUUGCCGCUGCUUGCAGUGAAGCUGCCAUUGCUG
rnacentral:lncRNA from 1 species